rnacentral:lncRNA from 1 species
GGCCAAUGUGGAGCCAGUUUGGGCUCCACAGCAGGGUGACUGAUCCAGCCAUGGCAACACUCACAUUUACCUUGUCCCCUGCGGGGCUGGUUCCUCUCCCGGAUCAGUGAGUCCCUGACGCCUUUGGGAGGGGAGGUUGGAGCUGUGAGGGCUGACUCUGGACUGAGCGGGAUAGACGGAUUUGGGCUUCUCUCCCUCAUCCCACCUGGCUAGGUGGUGGUGUUCCUCUUCUUCUUAGGAAGGAAAGAGGAGGUCUGGCCUGUGCUGAGCUUGCAGCUAGAGAAGGACGAACGAACUCUUUGAUUGUCAGGACGGCACAUAUCGGAUCUCCCAGCCUGGUGACUCUUCCGUGGUCUAAUCUGAACACCUCUGGCCUGCCACACCUCUGGCCAGCCUCCAGUUAGC